AUUGAACGCUGGCGGCAGGCCUAAUACAUGCAAGUCGAGCGAGCGGCGGACGGGUGAGUAAUGUAUGGGGCUCUGCCCGAUAGAGGGGGAUAACUACUGGAAACGGUCGCUAAUACCGCAUACUAUCGGAUGACCCCAUAUGGGAUUAGCUAGUAGGUGGGGUAAAGGCUCACCUGGGCGACGAUCUCUAGCUGGUCUGAGAGGAUGAUCAGCCACACUUGGACUGAGACACGGCCCAGACUCCUACGGGAGGCAGCAGUGGGGAAUAUUGCACAAGGGGCGCAAGCCUGAUGCAGCCAUGCCGCGUGUAUGAAGAAGGCCUUAGGGUUGUAAAGGACUUUCAGCGGGUAGGCGGUACCCGAAGAAGAAGCACCGGCUAACUCCGUGCCAGCAGCCGCGGUAAGAC
rnacentral:rRNA from 1 species